rnacentral:rRNA from 1 species
AAAAACGUUACUCAUCGCAUCACAUGGAUGCCUCGACUCUGUAUUCCGAAGAAGGACGUAGCCAGCUGCGAUAAGCCUCGGCAAGCCGCUAGGCAGGCGCUAUAGCCGGGGAUUUCCGAAUGGGGAAACCCCAUGGAAGUCAUAUUCCAUGACCCCGCACUCUUCAGCCAUUGCGCGCGAAGCGCGCAAAGAAAAGCGAUGGCUGAAAAGUGCGGGGAGGUCACUCUGCGAACUGAAACAUCUCAGUAGCGGAGGAAAAGAAAUCAAAUAGAGAUUCUCCGAGUAGUGGCGAGCGAAAGGGGAACAGCCCAAACCUCGUGCUUGCACGGGGGGUUGUAGGACCUCUUGUACCGAUUCUGCUGUCAUAGACGAACGUCCCUGGAACGGGCGGCCAUAGCGGGUGAGAGCCCCGUAGUCGAAAUGACAAAAGACGGGUGAGGAUUCCUGAGUAAGGUCGGACACGUGAAAUCCGGCCCGAAUCCGGGUGGACCACCAUCCAAGGCUAAACAGGUACAGAGUUCAAUAGCGGAUAGUACCGUGAGGGAAAGGUGAAAAGCACCCCGGAAGGGGGAUGAAAUAGUCUCUGAAAUGUGAUGCGUCCAAGGAGUCGGAGCCCCGCACUUUUUGAACCUUUGUUACAAUCCACCUCUAUGUUUCAUGUCUCUAUUCUUCAGAGUGAAGAUUCCGACGACCUUUACGUCGGGUUCACAUCGAAUCUGAAGAAGAGAUUGCAUGCGCAUAAUCAGGGGGAAAAUACCUCAACGAGAUCCCAUCGAUGGACGUUGGUGUAUUACGAGAGUUUUCUUUCGGAGCAAGAUGCUCGAAGGAGAGAAAGAAUGCUCAAGCAGUACGGACAAUCGCUUGGUAUGUUGAAGAAGCGAAUUUCCGGAAGUCUGAAGGGUUCAAAGAGUGCGGGGUGACGGCGUGCCUUUUGCAUAAUGAGCCAACGAGUUUGUUGUCAGUGGCAAGGCUAAGGCAGUUUUAGCCGGAGCCGGAGCGAAAGCGAGUCCGAAUAGGGCGAACAUAGUCGCUGGCACAAGACCCGAAACCGGGUGAGCUAACCAUGGGCAGGGUGAAGGGCGCCGAAAGGCGUCUGGAGGCCCGCACCAUAACUUGUCACAAGAAGUUGGGAUGACCUGUGGUUUGGAGCGAAAAACUUACCGAACCCGGAGAUAGCUGGUUCUCCUCGAAAUGCCUUUAGGGGCAGCCUCGUCACGCACGGCGGGGGGUAGAGCGACUGUUUGGGUGCGGGGGUCUUUUUGACCUACCAAAUCCUGACAAACUCCGAAUACCCGCCCUUUGGUGACGGGAGUGAGACGGUGACGGCAAAGCGCCAUCGUCGAAAGGGAAAGAGCCCAGAUCAUUUGCUAAGGUCCCUAAUCGAUCGCUAAGUGGUUAAGGAAGUGCAGAUGCAUAAACAGCCAGGAGGUUGGCUUAGAAGCAGCCAUCCUUUAAAGAAAGCGUAACAGCUCACUGGUCUAUGUAUCUGUGCGCCGAAAAUUUUCGGGGCGAAGCGAUCAACCGAAGCAGUGAGUGCGGGGUGUCACUUGUGGGUUCGACAGAGAUCGAUGUCGUUGUACUUGUAUUGGAAAGUAUGCAGUAUUCAGAAUGUAGUAUUCAGGGUUCAUAUUCCUGCAUACUGCAUACCGAUCCCUAUAUACUUUUCCGGCGCGAGUGGAACAACACCGACCAUCCCCGAAUCCAAAAGCGACAUCCCGUGCAGUAGAGGAGCGUUCCGUUCAGCAGUGAAGCAGUACUGUGAGGUAUUGUGGAGCGGACGGAAGCGAGAAUGUUGGCAUGAGUAACUACUAGGCAGGUGAAAACCCUGCCCACCGAAUCCCCAAGGUUUCCCACGCAACGUCAAUCGGCGUGGGGUUAGUCGGUCCUAAGGCGAGGCCGAAAGGCGUAGCCGAUGGAGAGCAGGUCAACAUUCCUGCACCUCCUGAGGAUCGUCCAAGGGCGGCAGUUGAGCGUUUGUCCGACCUCUGUUCUCCACCAUUUUGGAAUUGAGAGGAAUGAUGAAUAAAGAAUUAGGAAUGAAGAACAGUCUCCGUAAUUCAUACUUCUUAAUUCUUCUACGAUUCUAGAAUGGUGGAGAAUACGCCUGACAAAAAGGAUACUGUCGACCUAGGAGCGGUGUGACGGAGGGGGACGUCCAGAGCGUCUCAUUGACUUGACGUGGAAGGUACAAAGCGUUGAUUCCGGGAGGGAAAUCCCCCGGAUGAGCUGAGUGCCGAUCCCGAUUAUUCGCCGCAAGGCGGACGAGUCUGACACGUUCCACUCCCAAGAAAACCGUCGCUCCGAGAGUCUCAGGAGACCGUACCGCAAACCGACUCCGGUGGGGUGGUCGAGUAGACCAAGGUGAACGAGAGAACUCGCGUUAAGGAACUCGGCAAUGAAGCGUCCGUAACUUCGGGAUAAGGACUGCCCUUCUCCGCAAGGAGUUGGGCCGCAGCGAAAGAGCCCAGGCGACUGUUUAUCAAAAACACAGGUCCCUGCGAAGCCGUAAGGCAAUGUAUAGGGGCUGAUGCCUGCCCAGUGUCAGAAGGUCACGUGAGAGGGUGUAUGCCUUCAAACUAAGCCCUGAUGAACGGCGGCCGUAACUAUAGAACGGACCAGUUGUAGUUACGUUAAUAAAUCUGACUGUAUGCUGGAAACUCUGAGUAUCUGACGGUACUUGCCAUGAGGUGUACAAUCGUCCACAUGGCAUGUGACAAUCCGAUCAGUGCAGACAAUCAGCAGGAAAGACUUUGUACGACACUGUCAUCAUCCGACCUCGGCUGGUACAUCGCCGGAUUCGCUGAUGGCGAAGGGAGCUUCAAUGUUUCCUUCCGCAAACGGAAGGACUACAGGCUUCCAUGGAAAGUGUCGGCUUGCUUCAAUAUUUCUCAGAAAGAAGAGAGAAUCCUUCGUUUCAUCCAGAACCAUCUCGAUUGCGGGAAAAUCCGUUCUCGACCGGAUGGGAUCUGGUACUACGAAGUGAAUACUCUCGAGGAAAUCAGGAAGUACGUCAUUCCGUUCUUCCGAAGCUUUCCUUUUCUCUCAAAGAAGAAACAGAGAGACUUUGCCAUCUUUCAAUCCAUUGUUGCGUUACUUUCCUCCAAGGCACAUCUGUCUGAGGAGGGAAUACGGAAGAUCCUUUCGCUCCGUCGGGAAAUGAAUGAUGGAGGAAAACGGAAGUAUGGAGAAUUGGAGAUAUUGAACGUGUACAAAGAAUCCUCAGAGACUAUACGUCAGACAUUCCGUAACGGAGUGAAGAUAUAGUCCGAUCUCAUGGGCGACCAUGAGUCGAGCAAUGAAGCUAUCACCAUUGCUGGGACUCCAAAGCGGAGGAACAACCAGAACGGUCCUAAGGUAGCGAAAUUCCUUGUCGGGUGGUCGAUACACCAUCGUCAGGUAAAUCUGACGUGGUAAACUUGCCCGAAUGUCGCCGCAAGGCGCAGCACUAAGGAAUCAGUCGUGUUUUGGAAACAGAUCACUGAAAUCUUGAGUUCCGAUAAAAAUGAAUCAGCGUUGUACAAAAACCCCGCCUUUGCCCUUCGGGUCUACGGCGGGUAAAUAGUGAAAAACGUCGCUAUAUGCUGGAACAUCCCAUGCAUCCCCUAUGCCGCAAGGUACGGGGUGGGGACAAUCAGCAGGAAACCCGGCUUCAUCCGUCUCUGCUUUGCAGAGCCGAAACUACGCCGUGGGCUCCUCAGAGACUACACGCGACGCUUCCAAAUGAACUAUUCAUCGCGAAGGCAAGCUUCGCUUGCCUGGAGCGAUACCUUCUAAGGGAAAGGAUAGUUCAUGAAAGGAAAACCGUAGGUUUGCCUUUCAUGGAAGAUGAUAUAGUCCGAUCUCCAUGGCGACAUGGAGGCGCAAAAUCGCAGCGCAGUCAUAACAAGCGUCUUAUGAGUCGGUAUGUGCGCUCCGAUCACAUCGGAGACUUGGCUCACCACCAAGGGAAAUUCACGUGCUUUCCAAUUCAAUAAGUCGUGCCGAAGUCGGGCUCUGCCCGACUGGAGGCACACCGCUUAGGGAAAGGAGAGCUCGUGAGAGGAAAACCGCCCUGUCGGCCGUAGCCCCGAAGGGCAAAGGCUGAAGGUUUUCCUUUCACGCCUAAUGAAGUUCCGACCCGCACGAAUGGUACAACGGUCUGGGCACUGUCUCGACGCGAGACUCGGUGAAAUUGCAGUCCCGGUGCAAAUGCCGGGUAGAUCACGGAAGGACGAAAAGACCCUAUGAAGCUUUACUAUAAGCUGGCAUUGCAUUGUUAGUUUGCUUGCGCAGCAUAGGUGGGACCCUCUGAAGCGGUGACCUUGGUUGUCGUGGAGGGGCCAGUGAGAUACCACCCUUGCGUUCUGACGAUGCUCACCCUUCGGCAUAUACUCCGAUGGGGACAGUGCUUGCCGGGUAGUUUAACUGGGGCGGUUGCCUCCUAAAGCGUAACGGAGGCGCGCAAAGGUCCACUAGCACCGGAUGGAAAUCGGUGUUGUCGUGUAAUCGCACACGUGGGCCUGACUGUGAGGCUUACAGGCCGAGCAGAGACGAAAGUCGGCGAUAGUGAUCCGGCACCCGAGCGUUUCAUUACGCUCUUCCCACGUGGGUGGGGUGUCGCUCAACGGAUAAAAGUUACUCUAGGGAUAACAGGCUGAUCGCUCCCAAGCGCCCACAGCGACGGAGCGGUUUGGCACCUCGAUGUCGGCUCAUCACAUCCUGGGGCUGGAGAAGGUCCCAAGGGUUUGGCUGUUCGCCAAUUAAAGUGGUACGCGAGCUGGGUUCAGAACGUCGUGAGACAGUUUGGCCUCUAUCCUCCGUGAUCAUUUGGGAACGUGAAAGAAGCUGCUCCUAGUACGAGAGGACCGGAGUGGACGAACCUCUGGUGAACCUGUUGUCGCGUCAGCGGCAGCGCAGGAUAGCUAUGUUCGGAAGGGAUAACCGCUGAAAGCAUCUAAGCGGGAAGCCCCUCUUAAGAUGGCGUUCCCCCAUAAGCCCGCCGGAAGACGACCGGCUAGAUCGGCCGCAAGUGUACGUGCAGCAAUGUACUUAGCUGAGCGGUACGAACGGGCAAUUGAACGUUUUUCC